rnacentral:rRNA from 1 species
AACCGUUGUUUGGCUAUGUUACCGCUUUGCUCAGCCCCUCUUAUAGCGUUGUUAGUUGCAGGUGAAGAUUGGAGUUUGUUCCAUGUUGGAACAUGGAUAUUUUGUUGGGAUAUCAUAAUAUCUCUUAUUCAUAUUAAUGCAUCUAUAUACUUGGUAAAGGGUGGAAGGCUCGACCUUAUGCCUGGUGUUUUGUUCCACUCUUGCCGCCCUAGUUUCCGUCAUAUCGGUGUUAUGUUCCCGGAUUUUGCGUCCCUUACACGGUUGGGUUAUAAUGGGAACCCCUUGACAGUUCGCCUUGAAUAAAACUCCUCCAGCAUGGCCCAACUUUGGUUUUACCAUUCGCCACCUAGCCUUUUCUUUCCCUUGGGUUCUGCAAACUCAAGGGUCAUCUUUAUUUAAACCCCUGGGCCAGUGCUCCUCUGAGUGUUGGUCCAACCUGUCAGCUCCCGGUGGCCACCAGGGGCAACUCUGGGCUGGCCUACCGGAACCUUGGACAAUCCGGUGUGCCCUGAGAACGAGAUAUGUGCAGCUCCUAUCCG